rnacentral:rRNA from 1 species
CACGCCCUAAACGAUGUCGACUAGUCGUUCGGAGCAGCAAUGCACUGAGUGACGCAGCUAACGCGUGAAGUCGACCGCCUGGGGAGUACGGCCGCAAGGUUAAAACUCAAAGGAAUUGACGGGGACCCGCACAAGCGGUGGAUGAUGUGGAUUAAUUCGAUGCAACGCGAAAAACCUUACCCACCUUUGACAUGUACGGAAUCCUUUAGAGAUAGAGGAGUGCUCGAAAGAGAGCCGUAACACAGGUGC